rnacentral:rRNA from 1 species
UAAGGAAUAUUGCGCAAUGGGCGCAAGCCUGACCCAGCAAUGCCGCGCGGGUGACGAAGGCCUUCGGGUUGUAAAGCCCUUUUCUCGGGGAAGAUAGUGACGGUACCCGAGGAAGAAGCACCGGCUAACUACGUG